CCUAGUAUGUGCAGUGCUAAUGGGGAGAUAAAGAAAAAAUAAGCACACCACCUGAUUUUAAGCACCUAAUUUAGGUUAGGAGGCUUAUCUUGUUAGGCUUUUGUAGGGGACUGGGGGAUAGCCAGAGUUGUGUUCCUAAGCCAUCGGAUGCUCUAAAUCACCCUCUGGCAAAGCCUGCUUCCUUCUUAUAAAGCAAGCUCAGGGAAAUGAACCAUCCAGGUUGGGUGGGUAAUUCUGCUCAUUUGUAGGACCUUGAAAAAAGGCAAUCAGCAGGAACAGCUUGGAAAUCUGCUGAACAGAAGGACCUAAAGAAAGCUGCUAU